rnacentral:rRNA from 1 species
CCUACGGUAGGCAGCAGUGAGGAAUAUUGGUCAAUGGACGAGAGUCUGAACCAGCCAAGUAGCGUGACGGAUGACUGCCCUAUGGGUUGUAAACUUCUUUUAUAAAGGAAUAAAACGAGGCACGUGUGCCUUUUUGCAUGUACUUUAUGAAUAAUGAUCGGCUAACUCCGUGCCCGCAGCCGCGGUAAUACGGCGGAUCCGUUCGUUAUCCGGAUUUAUUGGGUUUAAAGGGAGCGUAGAUGGGUUGUUAAGUCAGUUGUGAAAGUUUUCGGCUCAACCGUAAAAUUGCAAUUGAUACUGGCAGUCUUGAGUACAGUUGAGGUAGGCGGAAUUCGUGGUGUAGCGGUGAAAUGCUUAGAUAUCACGAAGAACCCCGAUUGCGAAGGCAGCUUACUAAACUGUGACUGACAUUGAUGCUCGAAAGUGUGGGUAUCAAACAGGAUUAGAUACCCUUGUAGUC